CAGUAGCCGCGGGAAUACGUAGGGUGCAAGCGUUAAUCGGAAUUACUGGGCGUAAAGCGUGCGCAGGCGGUUAUAUAAGACAGAUGUGAAAUCCCCGGGCUCAACCUGGGAACUGCAUUUGUGACUGUAUAGCUAGAGUACGGCAGAGGGGGAUGGAAUUCCGCGUGUAGCAGUGAAAUGCGUAGAUAUGCGGAGGAACACCGAUGGCGAAGGCAAUCCCCUGGGCCUGUACUGACGCUCAUGCACGAAAGCGUGUGGAGCAAACAGGAUUAGAUACCCGGGUAGUCCCUGUCUCUUAUAC
rnacentral:rRNA from 1 species